UGGAAUGUGGCUCAGUGGUAGAGUGCUUGCCUAGCAUGCAUGAAGUCCUGCUUUCCAU
rnacentral:tRNA from 1 species